UACGGAGGGUGCGAGCGUUGUCCGGAAUCACUGGGCGUAAAGGGCGCGUAGGCGGCCUGAUAAGUAGGGGGUGAAAUCCUGCGGCUUAACUGUCGCAGUGCCUUUGAUACUGUCGAGCUCGAGGGAGGUAGGGGUCUGUGGAACUUCCGGUGGAGCGGUGAAAUGCGUUGAUAUCGGAAGGAACGCCGGUGGCGAAAGCGACGGACUGGAUCUCUUCUGACGCUGAGGCGCGAAAGCCAGGGGAGCAAACGGG
rnacentral:rRNA from 1 species